GACCCUGCAAGAUAAGUAAAUGUAGUCCUUAUCCUUAGUAAUUUAACCUUACAAUAAAAAUUGGCAUUUGAAACAACCACACCUCAAAGCUGAAAAACAAUGCAAUAUAGUUACUGCAAUAUCAAACAAAGUUGCCAUACUGAGGAAGAUAAAAUAGUAACUGCAAUAUCCCAUGCAAACCUAAAAGCUCCAAUUUAAAGUAUUUCAUCAACACCACAAUCAACGAAGGCAUAUAGAUCUAAUAGUAUUCAGCCAAGUCUCUUCUCAUAAAGGUAAUAUUAUCAUUGCUAUUGUUUGUGUCUAGGACACCUCUAUCGUGAACAGUGCCUACAACUCAGGCAGUGCAAUAGGUCAUGCCAUUAAUUGAUUUCUUACGCUAUAACUUCAACAGCUACAAUAUCCAAAAAAAAU
rnacentral:misc_RNA from 1 species